GAUGAACGCUAGCGGCAGGCUUAACACAUGCAAGUCGAGGGGCAGCACAGGUGGCAACACCGGGUGGCGACCGGCGUAAGGGUGCGUAACACGUGAGCAACAUACCCGUAUCUGGAGGAUAACCGGAGGAAACUCUGCCUAAUACUCCAUAAUAUCAUCGUACGGCAUCGUUUGGUGAUUAAAGAUUUAUCGGACACGGAUUGGCUCGCGGGACAUUAGCUUGUUGGUGGGGUAACGGCUCACCAAGGCCACGAUGUCUAGGGGUUCUGAGAGGAAGGUCCCCCCAACUGGAACUGAGACACGGUCCAGACUCCUACGGGAGGCAGCAGUGAGGAAUAUUGGACAAUGGUCGGAAGACUGAUCCAGCCAUGCCGCGUGAAGGUUACGGUCCUAUGGUAUUUUAAACUUCUUUUGUAUGGAAGCAAUAAGGUGCACGCGUGCAUCGAUGAGAGUACCAUACGAAUAAGCAAUCGGCUAACUCCGUGCCAGCACG
rnacentral:rRNA from 1 species